AAACUUUCAACAAUGGAUCUCUUGGUUCUGGCAUCGAUGAAGAACGCAGCGAAAUGCGAUAAGUAGUGUGAAUUGCAGAAUUCAGUGAAUCAUCGAAUCUUUGAACACACAUUGCGCCCCUUGGUAUUCCAUGGGGCAUGCCUGUUCGAGCGUCAUUU
rnacentral:rRNA from 1 species